CAGCAGCCACGGUAAUACGUAGGGUGCAAGCGUUAAUCGGAAUUACUGGGCGUAAAGCGUGCGCAGGCGGUUUGUUAAGACAGAUGUGAAAUCCCCGGGCUCAACCUGGGAACUGCAUUUGUGACUGGCAAGCUAGAGUCUGGCAGAGGGGGGUGGAAUUCCGCGUGUAGCAGUGAAAUGCGUAGAUAUGCGGAGGAACACCGAUGGCGAAGGCGGCCAUCUGGGACAACACUGACGCUGAGGCACGAAAGCGUGGGGAGCAAACAGGAUUAGAUACCCCCGUAGUCCCUGUCUCUUAUAC
rnacentral:rRNA from 1 species